ensembl:lncRNA
CUAGAAAUGAUUCAGUCCAUCAUUUUCUUUCACUCAGUGGGGAUUUCAGAUGCUCAAGAAAAAUUUUUUAAUUUCAACCAUUGAGAACUUUAUUGAGAAAGUAUUUGGUACAAAGCCACAGUCAGUAUCUCUGAUUUUAUCCCAUUUCACUGAGUACCAGAACACUGUUCGUUUUAUCCAAGUAAAUAAUACAUAGAGAAAUCAUCAUUUCUAUGACUGACAAUCGCUCACAAUAAACAAACCACCUUAAGUCAGCUCAAUAGCACUAUUUUGGAUAUUGUACACACAAGCAAAUGAACAAUUAUCNNNNNNNNNNNNNNNNNNNNNNNNNNNNNNNNNNNNNNNNNNNNNNNNNNNNNNNNNNNNNNUAAAACUUUGAGAAGUAGAAUGACUUUGCUGACCCUAACUAACUGACCUUGUGAAUUUUUCAUCAUGUUGUACCUGCAGUUUGCUUUAGCAGAGUGAAAAUGUGGUUUUCUCUCCUUGUCUUCUGACUCAUCUCUGGAGACAUGCAGUCAAUUCUAUUCUACACCUGUUCUUCAGAAGGAUGUUCUUCAAUGACGGACAUUUUUAUCAUCUUGCAUGGUCAUGAGAGAAAAACUGAGAAAGAUAAAGCCGUAGAGAUUUUUCUGGCAAACACACAAGAUCUAAUGAUGUUUUCUUUUACAAUCUAUGGCUAUAAUUCAUUAGUAGGUCUAACCCUUCGUCCAGCUAGCCUCUUUUGAAUCUUCCUGUUUAUAUACAAGUUAAUAUGUUUAGAAUGUUAAGGAUUUCACUUCACCUAAUCUUAGCUAAGGAACUACAACGAACAUAAACAGGAAGACUGGGGAAAAAAUUAAUUUAUUAAGUAGACCCAGGUUAGAUGUACCAAUAAAGUGAGCCUCCAAUCUGGAAAAGACGGUGACUGCCUUUUGUACCAAUCUGUAUAUUCUUGUUUUUUCUUUAUAGACUAUUUUAAAACAGGGUAUAUAAAUAAACAAUUGUUAAAUAGAGUAGGGUAGUGAUUUCUCAUGACUGUUUAACGAUGCAAUAAAAAAAAGUUAAAUCUAAACAUCAUCUGACAUUUAAAAAAGAAAACAUUACUAUAACUAUAAAAUUAAAAUGUCUGGUCAUCAGACUCCAACUCACUAUGUUUAUGCUAAACUUACAUCAAAUUCACACUAAAAAUGAUGAGAGCUUUGGAAAAGAUAAGAUCUUUUAGACAAGCCCAUCACUUUACAGUUAUCAUCAUUACUCAUUUCUUAUAAUCUCUGAUACAGUCCAUGAUGAUGUACAAGCUCAAAUAAUAUCUGAUGUAUUUUUGACAGCUGCAAUCUACCAAUCUUUCUAAAUAACAAAUUCCAGGAAUCACAGUGUAUGAGCAAAACGUACUUACAUCUGGAGGAUAUGAAAGAUGACUUGUUUUCAUAAUUCUGUUUCAUGUUUUGAUGAGAUUAUUUAAAAGCCAUUAUGACAUACUCAUGAUUACUGGACUAUAAAAAGACACCCCUGUUUAAAUUCUCCUUAGCAAUAGUUUCAGAACAGUAGUAGUAUCUCAAAAAGUAGCUUUCUUUUUGUAUUUUAUUUGUCUGAAUCAUUUUGGGCUUUUUAAAUGCAUGAAGAGUGAUGAUAUACCUCCAGGAAGAAUUAUUUUAACACUUGAUAAAUAUAAUGACGCAUAAAAAAUAAAGAUGAAUCAUAAAUAGAUUCCCAGUAGUACUGUGAUAAUUCCACACUCAGUUGUAGCAUAGAAACUUAAUUCAUCCAAGUAAAGUAUAAAAUUAUUCAGUUGGUUUCCAAACAUUAUCCUGUCUUACAUUAACUGAAGUAACUUGGUAAGAAUUGAUACUUCAAUAAAAUUAAGUCUCCUAAUCCAAGUAAAUCCAAUGUAUCUCUUUUAUUUUCCUCAGUGAAGAUUUGCCAUAUAAGCUCCUUAAGUUUAUUC